GCUUAAGGGACCUGGAUGGAUAGAGGUGUGCAGGCUCUGUAAAGGUGGCGAAGCACUGAUUUACAGCUUCGAACACACUACUAGCUAUGGCGAAGCGUACUUGUUUAUUUCCUCAGGCUGUACGAACUUGGCUCGGAGUCAAGCAGGUCUUGCAUGAGCAAAGCAGGAAGCGACACUGGAUCGUCUGGACUGAGAGCCUCAUGUGUUCAUAGUAUCGAAACUCCACGAGUAGGCUGUUUGUUUUGGGCGUUGGAGAAAACACGUGGGAGAAAUAUACAUAGCCUAUAUAUAGAGGAGUCUGAGGGCAUGGAGCGGCGCUUUUAAACUGUCCGUUAUGGAGAUGACAAACGAAAAGGUAGCCUGUCAAGUCCACGCAGUUUUAAUGGAGCCGGAGCCAGAGCCAGAGCCCGAGCCCGUGAGCCGUCUGAGGACAAAGUACCGCUCACUGCGGCGACAGGUGUGCCUCAUGCAGUCCAUCAGCGUGCUCUUCUGCUUCAGCUGCUGCCUGUUCACGCUCCUGUAUCACGCGUUCCUGCCGACCUGCAAGGAAAAUGGAACCAAGGAGGCACUUACAUUUGGAAUGCAGUAUCAAGGUGCUGAAUCGCAUAGCAGAGAAGAUACAAUCCCGAC
rnacentral:lncRNA from 1 species